AAAUCGCAAAAAUCACCUCCGGAAUCCGGCUUUGAAUGUGUGCCCUGCAGCCUCUCGGCUCCGCGGGACCAACCUCUAACGAGUGAUGAGAUCUAAUGGGUCCAGGUGAGAGUAGCGAGGACUGGACGCAGAAGAGAGGGCGCGUGUGUGAGCAGCAGACCGUCACACUUACCAAGAAGUGAACCGUGUGUUUCCCGUCUGGCUCGGUGCGUUGGGGACACGCAGCGGACAGUGCGUGUGUGAACGCGCUGACGGACCGAGCUCACUGCCGAUGGAGCGAAACCAGCAGACGCAGAGAGGGUUUGGAUUUUGGUCUGGGCCACUCAUGGGGAACAUUCACUGGAUACAACAACAAACUUCGAGCUACAUGCUGAAA